rnacentral:rRNA from 1 species
AACGAACGCUGGCGGCAUGCCUAACACAUGCAAGUCGAACGAGACCUUCGGGUCUAGUGGCGCACGGGUGCGUAACGCGUGGGAACCUGCCCUUAGGUUCGGAAUAACUCCCCGAAAGGGGUGCUAAUACCGGAUAAUGUCUUCGAACCAAAGAUUUAUCGCCUUUGGAUGGGCCCGCGUUGGAUUAGCUAGUUGGUAGGGUAAAAGCCUACCAAGGCGACGAUCCAUAGCUGGUCUGAGAGGAGGAUCAGCCACACUGGGACUGAGACACGGCCCAGACUCCUACGCGAGGCAGCAGUGGGGAAUAUUGGACAAUGGGCGAAAGCCUGAUCCAGCAAUGCCGCGUGAGUGAUGAAGGCCUUAGGGUUGUAAAGCUCUUUUACCCGGGAUGAUAAUGACAGUACCGGGAGAAUAAGCUCCGGCUAACUCCGUG